CACACUCACAAAGAGCCGAGGGGAGAGAGGGUGCGCAGACGGCCAGCCGGGCCGCGCCAGGGACAUACUGGAGACAGGAAGUGGCUGAGAGGGGGAGAGAGUUGGAGAGAGACGGCCGCGGAGGACACGGGGACGGGAAAGUCUGAGAGACGGGGAGAGCCUGACCCGGCGGGACACAGGCAGAAAGAAACACGCGAGCCAGACAGACGCAGAAGAAACGUGCCUGGUACUGGAUAGGAACUUCAUGGAAUGGAGCUAAUGGGCCGUAGGGCAGGUUUGAGUCGUGCCACCCUGGAGCAGAAGGUGGAGGGUAGGGAUAAGGGGGUGGAGCACCUGAUUCCAAUCUUGCCACAGGGAAGAAGAGUCUGUGAAGAAGUGCGUGAUGACUGUGUGUCCCCCCCCACCCAGAAAUUGGCAUUUGGGAGGGGUGGAUAUGGUUGGGACUGGGGAGCCUUGAUCUUACUGCUCUUGGUUGAGUUGGUGUCCAAUAGACAGUUUCAGAGGUUAGAGCAGUGGGAGUCACUGGGGACUGGGGACAGGAGAGGUGGGGGUGGGGGAAGCCAGGCGGGAAUGAGUAGGGAGGCACUGGGAGGAGGGGAGAGGCAAGAGUUAGGGGAAUACCGAGGAAAGUGGCAGGGAUUGGAGGCUCCUGGAGAAAGGGCAAGGCUGAAGGUUGUCCCAUGUAUUUUGGCCAGAUUUGAUUAUGUAAUCGAGAAUCAUGAGAUAAUUAAGUGUGUUCAUGUCUCUGGAGCCUUCAA
rnacentral:lncRNA from 1 species